AUUGAACGCUGGCGGCAUGCCUUACACAUGCAAGUCGAACGGUAACGCGGGGCAACCUGGCGACGAGUGGCGAACGGGUGAGGUAAUAUAUCGGAACGUGCCCAAUAGUGGGGGAUAGCCCGGCGAAAGCCGGAUUAAUACCGCAUACGACCUGAGGGUGAAAGCGGGGGAUCGCAAGACCUCGCGCUAUUGGAGCGGCCGAUAUCAGAUUAGGUAGUUGGUGGGGUAAAAGCCUACCAAGCCUACGAUCUGUAGCUGGUCUGAGAGGACGACCAGCCACACUGGGACUGAGACACGGCCCAGACUCCUACGGGAGGCAGCAGUGGGGAAUUUUGGACAAUGGGCGCAAGCCUGAUCCAGCCAUGCCGCGUGCGGGAAGAAGGGCCUCGGUUGUAACCGCUUUGUCUAGGAAGAAAGUACUUCUGGUUAAGUA
rnacentral:rRNA from 1 species